UACGGAGGGAGCAAGCGUUGUCCGGAAUCAUUGGGCGUAAAGGGCACGUAGGCGGUUCAGUAAGUCGAAUGUGAAAUCUCACGGCUUAACCGUGAAACUGCGUUCGAAACUACUGAACUUGAGUACUGGAGAGGUAUGCGGAAUUCCUGGUGUAGCGGUGGAAUGCGUGGAUAUCAGGAAGAACACCAGUGGCGAAGGCGGCAUACUGGCCAAGUACUGACGCUCAGGUGCGAAAGCGUGGGGAGCAAACGGGAUUAGAUACCCCGGUAGUCCACGCUGUAAACGAUGGGUACUAGGUUUUGGAGGUCUCAACCCCUUCAGAGCCGCAGCAAACGCAUUAAGUACCCCGCCUGGGGAGUACGGUCGCAAGGCUGAA
rnacentral:rRNA from 1 species